GACGAACGCUGGCGGCGUGCCUAAUACAUGCAAGUAGGACGCAGUUGCGAACGGUUGAGUAACGCGUAGGUAACUGCCUAUUAGAGGGGGAUAACUAUUGGAAACGAUAGCUAAUACCGCAUACUAGUAGAUGGACCUGCGUUGUAUUAGCUAGUAGGUAGGGUAAUGGCCUACCUAGGCGACGAUACAUAGCCGAGCGGGGAGGGGGAUCGGCAAGACGGGGACGGAGACACGGACCAGACUCCUACGGGAGGGAGCAGGAGGGAAUCUUCGGCAAUGGGGGGAACACUGACCGAGCAACGCCGCGUGAGUGAAGAAGGUUUUCGGAUCGUAAAGCUCUGUUGUUAAGGAAGCGGUACUUAACCAGAAAGGGACGGCUAACUACGUGCCAGCCGCCGCGGUAAUUC
rnacentral:rRNA from 1 species